rnacentral:RNase_P_RNA from 1 species
GAAGCUCGCUAGGCCGUCGCUGGUGCAAGGACAGAAAUGUCGCACUGGAGGAACGUCCGGACUGCACAGGACAGCGUAGGAGGUAACACCUCUCCACCGUGAGGUGAGGAUCAGAGCAACAGAGACGAGUCACCUUGGGUGCUAGCACACAAGGUGGGUGAAACGGGCAAUCUCUACGCGCAGCAAUACCAAGUAGGCCAACGUUGAGGCGGUUCGCUGAGUUGGCGGGUAGGUAGCACCGAGCCGGGUGGGUGACCCCCGGCCCAGAGGAAU